UCCCUUAGGAACCGACAGCAGGGCCGGGCCUCGUUCCCGCCCCUGGCGGAGGCCGAGGCUGGGUCACUCGGGGACGAGGAGCUCCCCGGGCGCACCCGCUCGCCGCCCAUCCCUGGCCUCCGCCUCGGCUGCGGGAGGUGGAGCCGGGUCCCCGCGGAAGCCCGGACCGCCGCCCUCCUCCUGCUCGCCGCCCCCGGGGAGCGGCCGGAGCCUGGGGCGCUCCGCCCACUCGGCCCGCGGGACCUCAGCCCACCCGCAUCUCCCCCAGGCGCGUCGUCCCUGGCGGCUGCUUCCGGCAACCCGAGCCCCCGCAAGCCCGCGUCUCUGCAGGCUCCCAGACGUGCGGCGCCCACCGCGCGGGCUCCAGGCGCGCGGCCCCACGGUUCCCGCCUCGACACACGGCCCCCGCGUCUCGCGGUCCCGACUCCCCCGCCCAGCUGUCGGGCUCCAAGGCAGCAUCCUGCCCUCUGCCAAGAGUAGUCUCUAGGCAGCCACCUGCCUCCGCCUGGGAUGGGAGUCCCCUCCCGACGUCUGCGGGGGUGUCGCGGCUCCCCCCACCCCUGCGGCGGCCGGAGAGCCCGCGUGCUGUCCAUACCCCGCGCGAAGCCUGCCAUCCCCUCCCCCAGCCCCGGGCUAGCCCAGCCGCGCGGUCUCCACCUGGCAGGGGUUCCCCCUCCCCCGACGAGCAGGCGCCCGCCUCUCGGGUAGACAGACCGUAAGUAGUCCUGGCCACCCCGGGUCGCCUUGCUUCCCGGUGCGGACGGGGGGCAUCUCCCGCCAGAGCCAGGUGCAGGACGCCCCUCUCCAUCUCAACCGCGCUUCUAGGGGAGGCAGCCCCUCCAGCUCCCUCACUCGCUUCUUGGGGUCUCCAAGAGUUCCCCUUGUCUCCUGAAUACCCUGGGACAGGAUCGCUCUCCCCUGGUCCAGGUCCCAGGCUGCUUCUUCCGACCCUUUCUCUGUACAUGCCCCCGAUGAUGUUAUUCCAGCCCACAGGGAGGAAAACCCUUCCUUGCAAGACCCCGCUGCAGCCUGGGUUCUCAGGCGUGGCUUAUUUAGGGGCUCACGCUUCGCGCUCCGGCUGGCUCCCCGGCACUGAGAGGCGGCAGAAAAGGACCAGCAUCCCCAGGUAACUUACCGGAGCUUGCUGGAGAGAAGCGCCGAAGUUAAGCAUGGUUGGCUGCCCGGCCGCAGGUCGCGAGCUGCCUGGUUGCUGGCUGCCUAAACCACAGACGGGAGCGCUGAGACACUAGACGUCGACGCCACCGCGCUCCGCGCUGUCUGCCCCCCUCCCCGUGCAGUGCUUCCUUGCCAUGUUGGUGAAGCCUUCCUUGAAAAGGAAUUCCAGGCUGAAUUAUUUUGCUGCCUCUCCUCCAAAGCACCUUAUGUUGAAUGUCACGUUAGUGAGGAGAGAACAAUGCAGCCAAGAGUGCAGAACUCUCCAGCAGUGCUGGGCAUCAACGGGUGCCACCUCUCAGGGAAGCAGUAUGGCGCUUUCAACACCCACCCCCAACCUACCACCAAGUGGUUGAGAGCAAACAGAGUCUAGGUGUGACGGAAGUGUUCAGCUUGCAGAUUCCCGUGGCUUGGUUUGGCAAGGAGAAUCACAUGAAGUUUUCCCAGUGACUGUGCAGGUGGUGGGUAGCCACACCCAGUGCCUUGCGGCCGGAGGCAGACACCAGCUUCCCAUGUCGUACAUGACGAAGCCCCCAUCUGCCAAGGAACUGACUGAGUAACAGCACGAGACUCCUCACCCCAAGGCCGACUGUAAUUAGUAUCUGCUGUUGGUGAGUUCUUCAGGAGGUUUCUACCACAGCCUCUCCGGGGGACCUAGCCUGGGAGUGGGGGAAGAACUGGCUGGAUUGGGGUUGCUGUGUGUCCUUCAGGCUUGGUAAUCUCUGCUACUGGGGAGGCUGCCUCGAGGACCAAAACUUCGAGGCCAACGCCUGCAUGUGAAUCAAGGCCAGCCUGGGAAAUUUCCUGAGACUCUGACUAAAAGUUUAAAAAAAUUAAAGACAGGACUGGAGGCCCAGUGUGAUGGCUCAAUGGGUAAGAGCCCUUGCCACCAAACCUAACAGCAUGAGGGGUCCCUGACUGCUGUGCCCUGCUCUCUGGCCACGCCUCACCUUGGGAACCCAUGUCAGUGGAGCCUAGGUACCUGCCUUGGGCUUCAAGGCAGCAGCUGUCCCUCCCGCAGACAUGCCUCCUCCUGGGCCCCUUCCCGGUAUAGAGCUGUGGAUUCUGCCCAGUCCCCACUGCUGUAGACCUGCCACGCACACUCAUCUACUCCAGUCACAUCCAAAAUAUCGGGGAUAAAAUCCUGAUAAAGGAUAAGA